GGGGGCGCACUGGUUUCGACGGGGAUAGUUGAGGCCGGGGUCGCAGGUCGAGGUGCUGUGAGGUCCUCGUUAAACACACAGCAAACCAUUAAUUGCCAACAAUGACAAUUACGCUUACGCAAUGGCUGCCUAGCAGUUGUUCGUAACACUGGCAGCUUCGGCUGCCACGUCCCGCCGGCUGACGCCUGAUACGCUGAACGGGGCGCCAUCUCAUCAGGCUGGUUGGUGAUUCACGUCUUAGGGAUCACCAAUGAGAUCUUACUCAGACUGGAUUUCGGGCCGCCGGGGCAGGGGCUCUCCCGAAAUCGAGAUGAAAACCUGUCCUAAGCCUGUAGAAGCUCCGAGCCAAGUAUUUUCGGACGCGGGUUCGAUUCCCGCCGCCUCCACCA
rfam:Desulfoplanes formicivorans DNA, contig: NODE_16, strain: Pf12B.